UACGUAGGGUGCGAGCGUUAAUCGGAAUUACUGGGCGUAAAGCGUGCGUAGGCGGUUCGUUAAGUCAGCUGUGAAAGCCCCGGGCUCAACCUGGGAACUGCGGUUGAAACUGGCUAACUAGAAUCUGGCAGAGGGGGGUGGAAUUCCACGUGUAGCAGUGAAAUGCGUAGAGAUGUGGAGGAACACCGAUGGCGAAGGCAGCCCCCUGGGCUGAGAUUGACGCUCAGGCACGAAAGCGUGGGGAGCAAACAGG
rnacentral:rRNA from 1 species